rnacentral:lncRNA from 1 species
UUUAUCUUAUAAUGUGGUGAUUAAAAUAGCUUUUGUGUUCUUCCUCGGAGGGAACAAAAAAUAAUUUUUCUGAUGGCAGGAGAAACUACUAUACUAUGAAACCAGUACAAAAUGUGAGGACAUUUUAGGCUGAUGAUGCCACUGGCAGCUCAAAGAUGAGUCUAUGUGGGUGUGGUACACAGGGUGCUGCACUUGUAGUAAAGGGACCCAGAUUCUAGUCCUGACUCUUCCACUUUCUGCUCCGGGUGACUCUGGAUGACUAAAGUUCCUUGUUGGGCUUCAUUUUCCUCAUUUGUAAAAUGAGAGAGUUGGAUUAGGGAUCUUGAAAGUCUCUUAUAGUCCUAAAAUUCUAUGAUCCUGUGAUAUGCCUUCUCCAAUUUAAGGGGAAAUUUUUUUUUUUGGUAUUUUGUAAAAAGAAAAUAAUUUUCAAAAAGAAGCUAUGGAAAUCAGAGGAAUCCAGGCAAAGGACUUUGGUCUUGACAUUUGAAAAUGGAGAUGAAAAUUCAAAAAUCACAAAGGAUAUUGCUUUCCAUCACUGCUCCUUUGCAUUGACUCUUCUGGGAAUAUGGAGGUGGGACACAUGGCUCAGUUUGUGAUCAGGAACCAUCAGGGGUUCUCCAGAGUCACCAAGAUAAAGGAGAGGAAAUUGAGACGUGAAGAGAGUUGGCCAAGAUUAUAGUGAUAGAAAACAAGAAGACUGAAAUUAAACGUAUGAAACCUCUGACUCCAAAUCUGAUGCUCUUUUCACUAAAGCAAGCUGCAGUUCACUCAGGACCACUCUGUGCAAUUCUGGGAGGAUAUAGAGCCUAGUCGGGGGGAGGGAAAGGGAGAAAGGAGGAGGGUAGAGAGAAAGGGAGAGAAAAGGGAGGGAGAGGCAAAGAGACAAAGGAGAACACUACAGAAGGGGUGUCCUGGGCCCCAUAAUAACUCCAGGUCGUAUGCUCUUAAAGGCCAUUAUGAAACAGUGCAGAUGAGAUCUCAUUUAUGAUUUUCCCAUCAGACUAAUGCAGUGAUUGGGUGAGGUGGGGUGGUAGUGACUGGCUGGAAAUCUCCCUGAGCAGUUG